rnacentral:rRNA from 1 species
UCCCGGCGCCACAAGUAGGGAUCAUGGUUAUUGGGCCUAAAGCGUUCGUAGCAGGUCGUGUAAAUCUCUUGUGAAAUCGUUGGGCUUAACCCAACGGCGUGCAGGAGACACUGCUCGACUUGAGACCGGGAGGGGUCAGGGGUAUUCCUUGGGGAGCGGUAAAAUGCUAUAAUCCUAGGAAGACCACCUGUGGCGAAGGCGCCUGACCAGAACGGGUCUGACUGUGAGGGACGAAAGCCAGGGGA